AGCCAGGAGGUUGGCUCAGAAGCAGCCAUCCUUGAAAGAGUGCGUAACAGCUCACUGGUCUAGUGGUUCCGCGCCGACAAUGUAGCGGGGCUCAAGCACACCACCGAAGACGCGGCAGCGGCCUUUGCGGCCGUUGGGUAGGAGAGCGUCCCGCGUGGGGCGAAGCGGCCGGGGAACCGUGCCGUGGACCGCGCGGGAGUGAGAAUGCAGACAUGAGUAGCGAGAGACGGGUGAGGAUCCCGUCCGCUGGAUGACCAAGGGUUCCGGGGCCACGUUCGUCGUCCCCGGGUGAGUCGGGUCCUAAGGCGAGGCCGACAGGCGUAGUCGAAUGGAUGAACGGGUGGAUAUUCCCGUACCGGCGGCGUACCGUAAGAGCCGAACGGAUGAGUACUAACCUCCGGUCGCGUGGCGUCGUUCCCUUCGGGGUUCGGGGCGCGCGGUCGUUGGGAGCGUAGUCCCGGUAGGCUAGCGCACAGGGGUGACACGGAAUGGGAGCCGGCCGCGGAGGUGGUUUUCCGUGGUCAAGCACGCAGCCCGUCCCAUAGGCAAAUCCGUGGGACGCAUAGGGUGAGGUGUGAUGAUGGGCGUCCUUUGGACGCGAUAUCCGGUGGUCCAGGCCGUCGAGAAAAGCCUCGGCGCGAGGGGCGUCGCCGCCCGUACCCCAAACCGACACUGGUGGUCAGGUAGAGAAUACCAAGGCGAUCGAGCGAAUCCUGGUCAAGGAACUCGGCAAAUCACUCCCGUGCCUUCGGUAUAAGGGAGACCCCCGGGCGUGAAGAGGCUUGCCCUCGGAGCGUUGGGGGGUGGCACAGACCAGGGGGUAGCGACUGUUUACCAAAAACACAGGUGCAUGCGAAGGCGCAAGCCGCUGUAUAUGCACUGACGCCUGCCCGGUGCCGGAAGGUUAAGAGGAUCCGUCAGCCCCUUUUGGGGUGAAGCGGUGAAUUCAAGCCCCGGUAAACGGCGGUGGUAACUAUAACCAUCCUAAGGUAGCGAAAUUCCUUGUCGGGUAAGUUCCGACCUGCACGAAUGGCGUAACGACUUCCCCACUGUCUCGACCAGGAGCUCGGCGAAAUUGCAGUACGAGUAAAGAUGCUCGUUAAGCGCAGAAGGACGAAAAGACCCCGGGACCUUUACUAUACCUUGGUAUUGGCGUUAGGCGCGGAUUGUGUAGCAUAGGCGGGAGGCUUCGAAGCAUGGGCGCCAGCCCGUGUGGAGCCGCAAGGUGAAAUACCGCUCUGUUCUCGUUUGACGUCUCACCUCGAACAGUCAUCCUGUUCAGGGACAGUGCCUGGCGGGUAGUUUAACUGGGGCGGUUGCCUCCCAAAGAGUAACGGAGGCGCUCAAAGGUCCGCUCAGCCCGGUUGGCAAUCGGGUUUCGAGUGUAAUCGCACAAGCGGGCUUGACUGCGAGAACGACGGUUCGGGCAGGGACGAAAGUCGGAGAUAGUGAUCCGGUGCCGGCGCACGGGCGCGGCAUCGCUCAACGGAUAAAAGGUACCCCGGGGAUAACAGGCUGAUCAUUCCCAAGAGUCCAUAUCGACGGGAUGGUUUGGCACCUCGAUGUCGGCUCGUCGCAUCCUGGGGCUGGAGCAGGUCCCAAGGGUUCGGCUGUUCGCCGAUUAAAGCGGCACGCGAGCUGGGUUCAGAACGUCGUGAGACAGUUUGGUCUCUAUCCUCUGCGCUCGUUGGAAUCCUGAGGAGGCCUGCCCAUAGUACGAGAGGACCUGGGUGGACGGACCUCUGGUAUGCCGGUUGUCGCGCCAGCGGCAUGGCCGGUUGGCUACGUUCGGGAGGGAUAACCGCUGAAAGCAUCUAAGCGGGAAGCCUGCUCCAAGAUUAGGAUUCCUUGACGCUCCCCGGAGCGUUUGU
rnacentral:rRNA from 1 species